GUCCACGCCGUAAACGAUGGGUGCUAGGUGUGGGCGGUGUCGACUCCGUCCGUGCCGAAGCUAACGCAUUAAGCACCCCGCCUGGGGGAGUACGGCCGCAAGGCUAAAACUCAAAGGAAUUGACGGGGGCCCGCACAAGCAGCGGAGCAUGUUGUUUAAUUCGACGCGACGCGAAGAACCUUACCAAGGCUUGACAUGCACGGGAAUGUCGUGGAAACACGGCAGCCCUUCGGGGCUCGUGCACAGGUGGUGCAUGGCUGUCGU
rnacentral:rRNA from 1 species